GAUGAAGAACGCAGCGAAAUGCGAUACCUGGUGUGAAUUGCAGAAUCCCGUGAACCAUCGAGUCUUUGAACGCAAGUUGCGCCCGAAGCCAUUUGGUUGAGGGCACGUCUGCCUGGGCGUCACAUAUCGUUGCCCGAUGCCUAUUGCACUGUGAUAGGAAAUUCUAGGGCGAAAGAUGGCUUCCCGUGAGCGUUGUUGCCUCGCGGUUGGUUGAAAAUUGAGUCCUUGGUAGGGUGUGCCAUGAUAGAUGGUGGUCGAGUUUGCACGAGACCGAUCAUGUGUGCGCUCCCCAAAAUAUGGACUCUUUGACCCCACACGCGUCUUUUGACGCUCAUGACGAGACCUCAGGUCAGGCGGGGCUACCCGCUGAGUUUAAGCAUAUCAAUAAGCGGAGGA
rnacentral:misc_RNA from 1 species